GGAGUUGUGGCUCAGUGGUAGAGCAUUUGCCUAGCAUGUAUGAGGCAAUGGUUCAAUUCUCAGCUCCA
rnacentral:tRNA from 1 species